GACGAACGCUGGCGGCGUGCUUAACACAUGCAAGUCGAACGGAAAGGCCCUGCUUGUAUGGUAUUCGAGUGGCGAACGGGGGAGUAACACGCGGGUGAUCCGUCCUCCUCUUCGGGGUAAGCCUGGUGAACAGGGUGGAUUACCGCAGAGGAGCCAUCUUUAGUGUGAUGGUUGGAAAGUUAUUUCGGUUUGGGAUGAGCUCGCGGCCUAUCAGCUUGUUGGUGGGGUAGUGGCUUACCAAGGCGGCGACGGGUAGCCGGCCUGAGAGGGUGACUGGCCACAUUGGGCUUGGGAAAGGCCCAGGACUCCACCGGGGGCAAGCGGUGGGAAUUAUGCACAAAGGGGCGGAGGCUGGUGGCGCGACGGCCGGGUGGGGAAUGCCGGCUUCCGGUUUGAAAACCGUUUCGGUCGGGAAGGAACUUUUUGUGACGGUAACUAGAUAAGAAGCACCGGCUAACUACGUG
rnacentral:rRNA from 1 species